rnacentral:rRNA from 1 species
GACGAACGCUGGCGGCGUGCUUAACACAUGCGAGUCGAACGGAAAGGCCCUGCUUGCCGGGUACUCGAGUGGCGAACGGGUGAGUAACACGUGGGUGAUCUGCCCUGCACUUCGGGAUAAGCCUGGGAAACUGGGUCUAAUACCGGAUAGGAGCCAUUUUUAGUGUGAUGGUUGGAAAGUUUUUUCGGUGUAGGAUGAGCUCGCGGCCUAUCAGCUUGUUGGUGGGGUAAUGGCCUACCAAGGCGGCGACGGGUAGCCGGCCUGAGAGGGUGGACGGCCACAUUGGGACUGAGAUACGGCCCAGACUCCUACGGGUGGCAGCAGUGGGGAAUAUUGCACAAUGGGCGCAAGCCUGAUGCAGCGACGCCGCGUGGGGGAUGACGGCCUUCGGGUUGUAAACUCCUUUCGCUAGGGACGAAGCUUUUGUGACGGUACCUAGAGAAGAAGCACCGGCUAACUACGUG